GAUGAACGCUGGCGGCGUGCCUAACACAUGCAAGUUGAGCGAACCCUUCGGGGUGAGCGGCGGACGGGUGAGUAACGCGUGGGUAACCUGCCCUGUACACACGGAUAACAUACCGAAAGGUAUGCUAAUACGGGAUAAUAUGUUUUGAUCGCAUGGUCGAGAUAUCAAAGCUCCGGCGGUACAGGAUGGACCCGCGUCUGAUUAGCUAGUUGGUGAGGUAAUGGCUCACCAAGGCGACGAUCAGUAGCCGACCUGAGAGGGUGAUCGGCCACAUUGGAACUGAGACACGGUCCAAACUCCUACGGGAGGCAGCAGUGGGGAAUAUUGCACAAUGGGCGAAAGCCUGAUGCAGCAACGCCGCGUGAGCGAUGAAGGCCUUCGGGUCGUAAAGCUCUGUCCUCAAGGAAGAUAAUGACGGUACUUGAGGAGGAAGCCCCGGCUAACUACGUG
rnacentral:rRNA from 1 species